CUGCCUCCCUGUUUGCUCUUCAAUGGUUAACAGCAGCAACAGCAUCUGAGCCCACAUUCCUAGAGCAGAAGAUUGCAAAGAGGAGGAGAUUUGGGGAGGGGGGGAGAGAGAGGGGGAAUGUGCCCCUUUCCUCUUCCGCAGAUCUGAAAGGGGGGAAAAUGCCAAAGUGUUCCACGUGAGUUUCUUCUUGCUUUGGCAGAGAUGCUGAAGGCGGCCGCAGGGAGGGAAAUGCAAGAUUAAGGCAAAUGGUUUCCGCGUGCUGGGGAAAGCAGGACUCCCGCAAGAGCUCUUCCCCUAACCGAAUUAUUAGGCUCAUUGGAGAGAUGCGCUCCGUGCACUGAGAGAUCCAGGGAUCAGUGAGCUUUGACAGGUGUCCUUGCAUUUCGCUGACGAGAACUGGGCCCUACGGAGAGCUCUGUACAAGGACAUCAUGGUGGAGGUUCAUGAGAUGGUGGCCUCUCAGGGAGAUGUUUGGGGGGUCCUGGAUGAGGAGGAACCACCAGAAGUCUGG